rnacentral:tRNA from 1 species
GGUAAAGUGGCUGAGAAAAAGCAUUAGACUGUAAAUCUAAAGACAGAGGUCCAUAGUCCUCUUUUUACCA